rnacentral:rRNA from 1 species
UACGAGGGGGGCAAGCGUUGUUCGGAAUUAUUGGGCGUAAAGGGCGCGUAGGCGGUGCGGUAAGUCACCUGUGAAAACUCUGGGCUCAACUCAGAGCCUGCAGGCGAAACUGCCGUGCUUGAGUGUGGGAGAGGUGCGUGGAAUUCCCGGUGUAGCGGUGAAAUGCGCAGAUAUCAGGAGGAACACCGAUGGCGAAGGCAGGUCUCUGGGCAUUAACUGACGCUGAGGAGCGAAAGCAUGGGGAGCGAACAGG